rnacentral:rRNA from 1 species
UACGGGGGGAGCAAGCGUUGUUCGGAUUUACUGGGCGUAAAGGGCGCGUAGGCGGUAGCACAAGUCAGUUGUGAAAUCUCCGGGCUUAACUCGGAAAGGUCAACUGAUACUGUGCGACUAGAGUGCAGAAGGGGCAACUGGAAUUCUCGGUGUAGCGGUGAAAUGCGUAGAUAUCGAGAGGAACACCUGCGGCGAAGGCGGGUUGCUGGGCUGACACUGACGCUGAGGCGCGAAGCCAGGGAGCGAACGGG